GUGCCAAAUGUGGAAAAAGGACCCAAAAUGGAGCUUCCGGAGACGUCGGGGAUGGCUCCCAUCUGGAACAACCUGAACUUCCCCAUGGAUCAUCAGAGGAGCCUGGAGAUUCCUGGAUUUGGGAAUUUUUCCUUACCCACAUCCUCUCCAGAGCCUUUCCAGCUCCCGGAGCUGGAUCAACCUGUUCCUGAUGUUCAAAAUUCCUGUGGCCUCUUCUGGGACAAACAUGGGAUUCUCCAGCACAGGAUAAGAACAGGAUAAGAUAAUUUAGGAUUUCAGGGCUGGUGCCUCUGGAAAACCGGGAAAACCUCACUUUUGGCAUGAUUAAAUCUGGAAAUUUUGGUCACUGUGUCAGCUGGAUCAGGGAGCAACCUGUUCCUGAGGCUUGGAAUUCCCUGGCAUCUCCUGGGACAAAUCUGGGACUCUCCAGCUUCAGCACUGGGGUUUUUGGACUUUUCGCUUUCCGGUGUUUCUCCAUGGAGAGCAGCGUGGGCACCUUGAUUUAUUUUUCCACCAGGAUCUGGGAUCCAGAUCUUUGUGGCAUUUCAAGAAUUCCAUCCCUGUGGCACUGA
rnacentral:lncRNA from 1 species